CAUUGUAGAAUUACACCCUGAAGUGCCAGAUCCUGUUUGAGCUUGGAAGUUAAGCAGGGUCAACAGGUUACUACUUGGAUUGUAGACCGCUAAGGAAUUCCAGGUGCUGCAGUGU
rnacentral:rRNA from 1 species